rnacentral:rRNA from 1 species
AUUGAACGCUGGCGGCAUGCCUUACACAUGCAAGUCGAACGGCAGCACGGGGCAACCUGGUGGCGAGUGGCGAACGGGUGAGUAAUGCAUCGGAACGUACCCGGAAGUGGGGGAUAACGUAGGGAAACUUACGCUAAUACCGCAUACGAACUGAGGUUGAAAGCAGGGGACCGCAAGGCCUUGCGCGAUUGGAUGAGCCGAUGUCCGAUUAGCUAGUUGGUAAGGUAAAGGCUUACCAAGGCGACGAUCGGUAGCUGGACUGAGAGGAUGAUCAGCCACACUGGACCUGAGACACGGGCCAGACUCCUACGGGAGGCAGCAGUGGGGAAUAUUGGACAAUGGGCGCAAGCCUGAUCCAGCCAUGCCGCGUGCGUGAAGAAGGCCUUCGGGUUGUAAAGCACUUUUGUUGGGAAAGAAAAGCGGUCGGUUAAUACCCGGUCGUACUGACGGUACCCAAAGAAUAAGCACCGGCUAACUUCGUGCCAGCAGCCGCCGUAAUAC